UUUGGUCGGAUAGAACCGAAACCCAAAAGAUUUGUGUUUCAUUCAACGAUUUGACGUUCUGACCGGUCUGGUCGUAUUAAUGGAAAGCGCCCGUAGUGUAGAUCCCCCGCGUGAAGCAUGCAUGGGAGAUAGUUUUUCCGGAAAUGAACCAAAGUAUGGAUAUAGAUUAUAGGAUGUUAUAGAUAUGUUAAUAUUGAUCGCAUAAUAAGUAUAUAUAGUAAGAUUUAAGGAUUAAGUACUGAAGCUAGUUUUUGAGGAACUGAGUUAAUUAUUGUUCCUGGUGUACGAAUAUACAGUUCGUAACAGUCUGAACGCCA